GUUCCUUCUGAAGUGUGCACUGGACACAGAUCUGUCAGACCGUUUCCCUCUAUGCCACGGAGAUGAGCUUGCUUGUAAAUGGCUGGAAAUCCCUUGCCUCUCGGCCCUUCCUUUGCAACUGCCUGAUAAAACUCCAUGCCUGGAGGAACCCAACCGUCCCCUUUCUCCAUGGACAUGGGGAAAUGGACUGCUGAGCACUUCUGUAGAAAAUCACAUCACCAGCCUCCCUCACCGCCAUCCAGUGUCUCUACUCAAAGGCACUUCACCUUGGUCUGUGGAGACAAAAGGUCUCUCCUGUUCUCUUUAACCUGUGACAUACACCAUAUUCUCAGUUCUGGAUGCCAUAGAUACCAGACCCUGCUUACAACAGAUAUCUUUGAUACCUGACAUAUUGUCAGCAGAUCCCAGACCACAGCAAGGCAUGAGUCAAAUUCCUGGGAGAUGGUGACGAUCAAAUGCCUUCGUAUGUGAAGUGUGGAGUAUGUGCUCGGCUCACAUCAGUUCCUACCCUCCCUGGCGGGCCAGGGCAACAAGGGUGCUGACCCGUAAUCCCGCUUCCAGCCGCCACGUUCCCGCCUGGCUGCUCACCACUGAGAGGUGAAGACAGCGUAGACAUAGGGAUCGGUGGAGGAAUUGUCUGCCAGCAGGACAGCGUGACGGAUGAUGUUGAAGGGCAGCUGCCCCGGCUGGGCGCAGAGUAGCUGGGCCUUCAAGAAGGUGGUCCACUUCUUCUGCAGCAGCUUUUCGCCGCCUACGUCGCUCUAGGGGCACCAGAGGAGUCAGGGGACGACCCCUGCCCCACGUGACCUCGCCCUCUUCCCCGCCCCUCACUCCCAUUGGUCCCUAAGUGCUCAGCCCCGCCUCUGCCAUCUCCCCAUUGGCUUCUCCACAGCCAGCCCCGCCUCCCGCCCAGGUUGCAGACCUUGCAGACUCUGGCCACCCGGGAUGUGUGGAGCUUCUCGAAGAACUCAAACUCGCUGGCUGUCUCCUCGAAGAAGAAGUAGACGACGUGGGUCGAAGGGAUGGCUGCCACGAAGGAGGCGUCCGCUGCAGGGGCGGGGCAGAUGGGCUAAGAGAUGGAGCACCUGGAUGCCCUGGCUUCCCCUUUGUGAAAACCCUUGGCUCUGGAGGACAGGAGACAUGACCUCUCGGGUCCCACAGCUGGUCGAGA